rnacentral:misc_RNA from 1 species
CAGAGUUCAUGCCCUUACGGGUAGAUCUCCCACCCUAUGUUAUCGUUACCUUUGUUGCUUUGGCGGGCCGCCAGGCCUUGGUCAGGCUACCGGCUCCGGCUAGUAAGCGCCCGCCAGAGGACCCAAACUUCUGAAUAUUAGUGUCGUCUGAGUACUAUAUAAUAGUUA